rnacentral:rRNA from 1 species
AUAGGUUAAGUUAAUAAGGGCGCAUGGUGGAUGCCUUGGCACUAGAAGGCGAUGAAGGACGUGACUAACUACGAUAUGCCUCGGUUAGCUGUAAGUAAGCUUACCCGGGGGUUUCCGAAUGGGGCAACCCGAUCUUAAUGAUCAUCAUCUUUUUGAAUUCAUAGAUUAGAUGAAGCAAACGCUGUGAACUGAAACAUCUAAGUAGCAGUAGGAAAGUAAAGAAAUUUCGAUUCCGUCAGUAGCGGCGAGCGAACGCGGAAGAGCCCAAACCUGGAUGCUUGCAUCCAGGGGUUGUAGGAC